UAUAUAUAAUAUUAUUUUAUUGACCCACAUGUAAUUACAUCCAAAUUCAUUCACAAUUAUACCAUUAUAACCCAAAUCUACUUUUUAAUGACCCAACAAAUUAAAUAGGUUUAUGUUCUUGGAUUUUCACCAAUACCUAUCUUGAAUAUAACAAUGUCACUCACUUCUGCUGCAUCGCCCACUGAUUUAGUUAACGUGUUGAUUAAUGCAAAAGAUAAAAUGUGUUAAGUCACCAUUCGCUUGUAUUAUCAAAAGCUUCUUAGAAAAUGUGAGCCGUGAAAAGUACAAAAUUGAUCGAAAUCUGCUAAACGCUUUCUGAAAUAAUGCAUUGACGCCGGAAAUGUUAAAGCUUGUUACACUCUCUAGGCAUGGUGAGUAUUCUACUGUUAACAAGGUCGAGGAAGCGGCGCGUCCUUGAUGGUGAAGGCGGAUUUUAGCUCUCACGCGCCGUCGCUCUACUCUCUCUCCGUUAUCCAGUUCAACGACGGCUGAAACUGUUGCCGACGAGCGAGAGAAAAGCGACGAGUGCCGCCAUGAAACUUUCACCGAGUAUGGCAAGAGUCGUUUCUUCCAAUCGAUGAUUGCCGAGAUGUCAUUUGUCGAUGGCGGUGGAGAGCAGCGGAAUGAGGCAAAUGGAGAAGCUCCACAAGUUGUUUGGCUUUGUGGAUUUACAAAGGGAAAAUUGUAUAUAAUAGCAAACUAUUAAUUCAAAUUAAAUGUUAUAAAUAUAGUUUGAUUUAA